rnacentral:rRNA from 1 species
GAUGAACGCUGGCGGCGUGCCUAAUACAUGCAAGUCGAGCGAACAGACGAGGAGCUUGCUCCUCUGACGUUAGCGGCGGACGGGUGAGUAACACGUGGAGAACCUACCUAUAAGACUGGGAUAACUUCGGGAAACCGGAGCUAAUACCGGAUAAUAUAUUGAACCGCAUGGUUCAAUAGUGAAAGACGGUUUUGCUGUCACUUAUAGAAGUAUCCGCGCCGCAUUAGCUAGUUGGUAAGGAAACGGCUUACCAAGGCAACGAUGCGUAGCCGACCUGAGAGGGUGAUCGGCAACACUGGAACUGAGAAACGGUCAAGCCCCCUCCGGGAGGCAGCAGUAGGGAAUCUUCCGCAAUGAGCGAAAUCCUGCCGGAGCAACGCCGCGUGAGUGAUGAAGGUCUCCGGAUCUUAAAACUCUGUUAUUAGGGAAGACCAAAUGUGUAAGUAACUAUGCACGUCUUGACGGUACCUACUCAGAAAGCCACGGCUAACUACGUG